rnacentral:rRNA from 1 species
UGGGGAAUUUUGGACAAUGGGCGAAAGCCUGAUCCAGCAAUGCCGCGUGUGUGAAGAAGGCCUUCGGGUUGUAAAGCACUUUUGUCCGGAAAGAAAUCCUUGGCUCUAAUACAGUCGGGGGAUGACGGUACCGGAAGAAUAAGCACCGGCUAACUACGUGCCAGCAGCCGCGGUAAUACGUAGGGUGCAAGCGUUAAUCGGAAUUACUGGGCGUAAAGCGUGCGCAGGCGGUUUGCUAAGACCGAUGUGAAAUCCCCGGGCUCAACCUGGGAACUGCAUUGGUGACUGGCAGGCUAGAGUAUGGCAGAGGGGGGUAGAAUUCCACGUGUAGCAGUGAAAUGCGUAGAGAUGUGGAGGAAUACCGAUGGCGAAGGCAGCCCCCUGGGCCAAGUACUGACGCUCAUGCACGAAAGCGUGGGGAGCAAACAGGAUUAGAUACCCUGGUAGUCCACGCCCUAAAANGAUGUCAACUAGUUGUUGGGGAUUCAUUUCCUUAGUAACGUAGCUAACGCGUGAAGUUGACCGCCUGGGGAGUACGGUCGCAAGAUUAAAACUCAAAGAAUUGACGGGGUCAU